CAGCACCUCAAGUGGUCAGGAUGAUUAUUGGGCCUAAAGCAUCCGUAGCCGGCGCUGUAAGUUUUCGGUUAAAUCUGUACGCUCAACGUACAGGCUGCCGGGAAUACUGCAGAGCUAGGGAGUGGGAGAGGUAGACGGUACUCGGUAGGAAGGGGUAAAAUCCUUUGAUCUAUUGAUGACCACCUGUGGCGAAGGUGGUCUACCAGAACACGUCCGACGGUGAGGGAUGAAAGCUGGGGGAGCAGACCGGAUUAGAGACCCGAGUAGUCC
rnacentral:rRNA from 1 species